UAGCUGAAGGCAGAUGCCCAGUGGACUGAACCUCAGAGACAUGAUAAAUAGUCUGGCUACCCUGGGGAAGAGACCCCAAGACUCCAUGGAGUUGUAGAGAGAGGCCCGGUCGCCCAGCGAGCCAGGUGAGCCCAGCUUUCCAGGGGUCCCCCCAAAGACAGCCGGCACACGCGUGAGUUACGUGGAAGUUCCUCCAGCCCAGAGGAACGCCAGAUGACAUGCCAUGGAGCUGGAAAUUCACCUCGUGGAGUCCAGGCAACCCUCAGAUUCAAGAGAGAUU